AGGACGAACGCUGGCGGCGUGCUUAACACAUGCAAGUCGAGCGGAAAGGCCCUUCGGGGUACUCGAGCGGCGAACGGGUGAGUAACACGUGAGUAACCUGCCCCUAGCUCUGGGAUAGCUCCGGGAAACCGGGAUUAAUACCAGAUACGACCACUUUAGACAUCUGUCGUGGUGGAAAGGAUUCCGGCUAGGGAUGAGCUCGCGGCCUAUCAGCUUGUUGGUUGGGGUAACGCCCACCAAGGCGACGACGGGUA
rnacentral:rRNA from 1 species